UUAUUGAUGUUUGUUUAAACAUCACAAAAAUACAAAAAUGCUUCAUUUCAGUAAUUCCUAAGUAAACCAUACAUAAAGUAUCAAUUCCUCUCCUGGGAGUGUGCUUCACAGAAAUUCUUAUAAAUGUUCUCCAUUGUACAUGUAUAAGAAUGUAUAAAAAAGCACUGUUUGUAAUAAUUGAAACCAGUAAGUGUCCAUUCAUUUGUCCAACAAAAAUAGAAUGAAAUACGCACAACAAUUUUUUCUUAAAAAUUCUAGUUUGGGCAGCAUAUACACUAAAAUUAGAAUGGUAUGGAGAAGAAUAACACUGUCCCUGGGCCAGGAGGGUAUUCAAAUGUGAAGUCUUUCAUAUUUUUGGGAGUAGAAUUGUGGCUACCCUCUAGUAGGGUCAGGUGAAGAGAUGAGUAUUGUUAUUCAAAAAUUAUAAUAUUUCAUCUAGAUAGAAGCAAUUAGUUCAGAUCUAUUGUAAAGCAUGUUGAAUAUAGGUAAUAAGAAUGUAUUGUAUGCUUGAAAAUUGCUAAGAGAAUACAAUUUAAAUGUUCCCAGUGCAAAAGGAAAGGGAAGUAUAUGAGGUAGUAGAUACAUUAGCUUGAUUUAGUCUUUCCAAAAUGUAUACAUGCAUGAUGUCAUAAUUUUUAAUAAUCUGAAAACCACCAAAAUGUAUUAAGCAAAAGAAGCUCCACAUAAUAUUUUGUAUUUAUAUUUAUUCACAUUGUUAAGGAAAAAUGGUAUUCAGUGAUACUUGUUCAAACUUGAUAAGGAAGACUAUUCACGACCAACAGCACAGCAAUGAGGUCUUGCACUGGGGGAGAGAUUGGCCUUAGCUCCACAUACACAGCUGGGUAGGUGGGGAUUUAUAGCCAAGGAGCAGGGAGUAGGGUCAAUGGAUGGACAAUCACUAAGAGAAGACAUCAUAGAUAAGGAGGAUUCUUGCUGAAGACAGGCUAGGCUGAUCAGACAUCACCUAGAGGGUGGUGGAGGAUGAGAAACCUGAUCAGAUAUUGAGGGUGAUCGAUCAAGUGUUGAGUGUGAUCAGAUAUGCGGUGGGGGUACAGUCUGGCUAACCUGGCUUAGGAGAGUUCUUUGCCAAAACUGAGUUUGGCAAGGAAGUGCACAGGCGAGUCUAGGAGAAGGUUCAGAAACCUGACUAAAGUUUGGUCAAACAGAGAAUCUGUGUCAGAGGUUCAAGAAAAGGAAAAUUAAUGUAUGGUAAUGAAGGUCAGAAUGGGUGUUAUUUUUGGGAGAGUGAAAAGAGUGGUUUUAAAUAUUACAAAGUAGUUUUGAG
rnacentral:snRNA from 10 species